ACCUCUGAAUUUGAACCUUCGGAUCGCUCGCUACUGCUGCUUGCGCGGCCCCAAACGACGUCGUCAUCGCCCGGAUUAGUCGGCGUUGCAAGAGGAUACGAAACCCUAAAGAAUGCUCGGAGAGAGAGAGAGAGAGAGAGUUGGAAUUGGAUACUCUUUUUGGAGUGGAGUGAU